rnacentral:rRNA from 1 species
GACGAACGCUGGCGGCGUGCUUAAUACAUGCAAGUCAACUGAACUUGAGGUAGCAAUAUCACAAGAGAGGUGGCGCACGGGUGAGUAACACGUAGGUAAUCUGCCUUUAGGUCUGACAUAAUUCCGCGAAAGCGGGACUAAUAUCAGAUGAUGCAGCGGCUCGACAUCGAGACAGUUGUUAAACCUUCGGGCCUAAAGAUGAGCCUGCGUCUGAUUAGGUAGUUGGCGGAGUAAAAGCCCACCAAGCCUGCGAUCAGUAGCUGGUCUGAGAGGAUGAUCAGCCACACUGGAACUGAGACACGGUCCAGACUCCUACGGGAGGCAGCAGUAAGGAAUAUUGCUCAAUGGCCGAAAGGCUGAAGCAGCAACGCCGCGUGGAGGAUGAAAUACUUUU